AGGCAAUACGGGAAUCCGGCUUGUCGUUGAGUUGUCUGGGUGUUCCCUGUGUUGAAUUCGUGCCGUGCUUUAUUAAUAAUGGAAGCAACACAAAACAAUAUUACAAAUGCUGUAUGGUGCCACUGUGUCCUAGUACAUAAAAGCCGGCGUUUAAAAUGGUUAAAGGGUAAAGGUAUGCAAGGAUAUUUCUGAGAAAACUACUGCCCAUGUAUGUUAAGAUCAUUUUAAUCUGGAAGAAGAUAUGAAUAACUAUGUUAAAUUCAAGUUAAUUGGAGGUCUGAAAAAAAAUGAAGGCUAUUGUACUUGCAACUUGCACUAAUCCUACUGCAGAAACUCCAUAAGAAUACAUUCCCGAUCGUAAUCGUAAAUAACGUUUUUUUACUUAUUGCAUAUUUUUGUACUUAACAUUGUUAUUCUGAGUAACUAAGGAUAUAUUUAAUAAUUAACGCUCUAUUUUGCAUCAAUGUCAAAUCACUUUUAAUGAUGUAAUUUAGUUGUUACUAGCAUGAAAACAAUACUUUUUUAUUUUUUGUUGAAUCACUUUUGAAUUUGAAAAUUAAAUCCAGUAAAACGCCAAUCUAACAUUUUAUCGAUUUAUAUAAGUAAAACUAUUGACUAUUUUGUCUAUAAAUCUACCUGUUAGCUUUAACACCGCGAACUUCAGCAAGAGUAAAACUUGGUGUUUUUAUUGUAAGAUGCCACCAUAAACAUAUCCACGAAUGGUAAAAUGUCAAAUUGUUCUUUUACAAAACCUGCGUCAGUCGUUUUGAAAAAUUUUCUUUUUCUCCGAAUAUACUAUAUAAACGUUUUAACAACAAUAUCAAGACUGAGAUUGCAUAUUUACAUGUUCCGCAUUGAAGCCACCGCGGCCGACAAGCCGCGUGACGUCACAACUGGUUUCAGCAGAUGACGGCGCGUUUCAAAAAUGGUUUAAAUUAUACCGUUUUCAAUUGCUUAUAUUAAUUACAUAGAAAUAAAAAAUUAGUUGUUUGGUCAA